CCAACAUCAUGGAUGUGUUCCUAUAUCGAUAUCUUGAAACGAUUCUAAAUAAUCAAUCAAUAGAAGCUGAGUACACUGUAGAUGUAUAGGAUGCAUUCUAGUUGUAAUGUUAGUUGCAGAAUCAGUUAUCAUAUUAUCAGAUAUUAUGACACUAUACUGCAAAGAUAAUGGCACCAUAGCCCUUGUUAAGGAGCCUAGAUCUCACCAG
rnacentral:lncRNA from 1 species